GGCAGUUCUCAGGUGACUCAUCCCGGAAUCAGGCUCCCUCCUCUCUGCUUCUGGGUGCCUUACCCGAGAACCGCA
rfam:Myotis brandtii contig318143, whole genome shotgun sequence.